rnacentral:rRNA from 1 species
AGAUGAAAGACGCUUUUGCGUCACUGAUGGAUGGACCCGCGCUGCAUUAGCUAGUUGGUGGGGUAACGGCUCACCAAGGCCACGAUGCAUAGCCGACCUGAGAGGGUGAUCGGCCACACUGGGACUGAGACACGGCCCAGACUCCUACGGGAGGCAGCAGUAGGGAAUCUUCGGCAACGGACGAAAGUCUGACCGAGCAACGCCGCGAGAGUGAAGAAGGUUUUCGGAUCGUAAAACUCUGUUGUUAGAGAAGAAUAAGGAUGAGAGUAGAAUGUUCAUCCCUUGACGGUAUCUAACCAGAAAGCCACGGCUAACUACGUGCCAGCAGCCGCGGUAAUACGUAGGUGGCAAGCGUUGUCC